AGCCACCAGACAGGAUGGCCCAGGGCUGCUUGUUCCUUGACCUGCUAGGACCAACUGUGACUCAUCUAUUUACUGCAGAGCAAAGGAACCCACCAGGGCAGAGCCUCAGCUCUCAGCCUCCCGGAAUGAACCAUGAACCCAAAGCAAAGAGCAGAACUCCUUUGACACCUCCAGCUUCACAGACAAAGAUGAAUCUCCUAAGGCAUUUCUGAAACAUGCAGUUCUGAAGUCUGGCCAGCCACACCAAAGAGCUUUUCGCAAGAAGGCACAGGCCAGGUAGAGGCAGCUGUGCAGUGGGAGGACUGUGAUGUUUUGGACUAGAAAAUAAGACGCAAAUGAGGCCAAAAAAACACAGGCACUGCAUAAAGGUGUCUUCUCCCCACUUUAUAAGCCUUAUGUGUGAUAAUAUUCAAUGCCACAGCAAGGCAAGCAAAUAGGUCCUUGGAGGGAGGGAUAGCUGGAUUUUAAUCCUGGCUCUACACUAAGGUCUUGGACUACUUACUGCAGGUCUCUGAGCUUCAUAGUUUUAUGUAUAAAAUAGGAUGAAGACCAUCCCCAAAUCCACUUCGAUGGUGAG
rnacentral:lncRNA from 1 species